rfam:Oryza nivara chromosome 3, whole genome shotgun sequence.
AAAAAGACAAAUAUUGUGUUUCUGUGUCCAACGUUUGACCGUCCGUAUUAUUUAAAAAAAAUAUAAAAAAAUAAAAGAUAAGUCACGUAUAAGGUAUAAAUCAUGUUUUAUCAUCUAUCAACAAUGAACAUACUAAUUAUAAAAAAGAUUUAUAUAAGACGGACAGUCAAAUAUUGGACAUGAAAACUUAGGGUUUGCUUUUUU